UAGCGCCGCUCGGUUUCGAUCCGAGGACAUCAGGGUUAUGAGCCCUGCGCGC
rnacentral:tRNA from 1 species